rnacentral:tRNA from 1 species
GGGGAUGUAGCUCAGUGGUAUAGCAUCUGCCUGGCAAGCAUGAGGUCCUAAGUUCAAUCCCUGGUACCA